CUGCUCUUUUGCAGUGGCACAGGCACUAAAAGGGGAACGAUAGAGACAUUAGCAUGGCUCCUGCAAAUGGAUAACACACAAAUUCAUGAAGCAUUUCAUACUCUU